GAGUUUGAUCAUGGCUCAGGAUUAACGCUGGCGGCGUGCGUAACACAUGCAAGUCGAACGGUAUUUUGAAAGGAAAAGGCUUCGGUCUUGGAGAGUCAAGAGAGAGUGGCGAACGGGUGAGUAACGCGUGAGCAACCUGCCUUCCACAAAGGGAUAGCUGCCGGAAACGGUAAUUAAUACCAUAUGAAGUUAACGAAUCGCAUGAUAAGGUAACUAAAGAGAAAUCGGUGGAAGAUGGGCUCGCGUCCGAUUAGCUGGUUGGAGAGAUAACAGCUCACCAAGGCAAUGAUCGGUAGCCGGCUUGAGAGAGUGAACGGCCACACUGGAACUGAGAGACGGUCCAGACUCCUACGGGAGGCAGCAGUGGGGAAUUUUGCACAAUGGGGGGAACCCUGAUGCAGCGACGCCGCGUGAGCGAAGAAGGAAUUCGUUUCGUAAAGCUCUGUCCUAUGGAAAGAUAAUGACGUACCAUAGAGGAGCCCCGCA
rnacentral:rRNA from 1 species